CGCGUUAUUUGGUAAAUUAGGUUGGCAUGGGGUGCCCAGUAUCCCUUAGCCCCCAUGUUCUUAGGCCAUGUUUACUCCCAAUUAGACUUGCUUCAUGAAGAUGAAGAUUAAGGCAAUUCUUGCUAUGCUAUUACUUCGUCCCUUCAUUGUGCCAUUUUCCAGGUGUUCAUAUGGGACUGUUCUUUUGUUACUUUGUCGAAAUGUAGGAGUCUAAAUUUUGUAAAGGAUAAGUUCAAAUGAUCCCCAGAUGUGAUUAAGGGUCUAUUGGCAGUUCUAUUGAUAGCCAUCCCAUCAUCUUUCGCUGGGCCAACUUGAAAUGUGGUUGCCUGAAUUUGGUGGAGUUGUUUGAUCAAGCAGGGCACUUGAGUUGGCACUCUCCCUAGGAGUUCAGUCAUGGGUUCGUCUGCGAUUUUGUGUUGGCCUCUUUUCUUAACUUUCCAGGGAAUACCUUUGAUCUGAGUUGCGAGGACGAAGGCAGUUUGGCAUACUUGGCUUGCAUCAGUCCCUCAUUGCUUUCAGUGCCUUCAUCAAGUGGUCCCAGUCCAAGUGCAAGUCAGACCUUAAGAGAGCUAUGAGUCACUCUUCCGUUGAUGAUGUGGUCGAGGUGCCUCCUCUUGUGACUAGUGGUGUUAUGGUGAAAAAAGUGGUGACAGCUCCAUCUGCUGCUACCUUAGGUGUGGAGGAGGAGGUCGGGCAGGUAGCGAAGGAUGCCCAACCCGUUCUGCCUCUUGUUCUCUUGGCUGUUCAGGACCCUAAAGCUCUCCAGCCUUCUAUUCCCUAGGAUCCCAAGCCCGUGUAGACUCCCGGUCCUACUAAAACUGUGACACUUGAGCCCAUAAUUGAGCCUGCAUUGGGCAAAGAGUCCUUGAGGGUGUGUCCUUUUCUACACAAGCAGGUCAAACUAAUGCCCAAUAUGUUCCUAAGGCUGCCCCUUCUUUGGAGUCAGAGGAUUCUAAAGAAUCCUCCGGGAAGUCAGAGGGCCAAGAGGAGGAGGCUCUGCCAUAAGGAGCUGAUACUAGUUCUUUAGCUUUCUCUUAAUUUCCCAACUUUAUAUAUUUUCUUUUCUUCUUUCCCCCUUUUGACUUUGUCUACUUUUACAAGUGCUGACUCAGGUGCUAAGGAUCUUGAGCCUGUAGUUACUGAGGUAGUUGCGGAAUCUACUUCUAAUGUCUAGGUUGUUGAAGCUCAGCUAGGGAUCCCCCAAACCAUCCAGAGGGUCGAAAGUUCUCUAAUUCCUAAGAGUGGAGACAUAACAAUGGAGGAGGUUUCAGGGGUGACUGUCUCAGAUCCUAGCUCAGGGCUCCCUGCUUUCUUGUCCCACUUUGAUUCCUUGGAGUUCAACAGCCUCCUGCGAGCCAUUUUCAUAGAUUUAAGCCUUUUUUCGGCAACUUCCUAAGAUUCUCUGUGCCUGUUGAGGGUCUACCACUGUUGGAGGGGCUGUUCAAAACCCAUGGGGACUUCACCAGUGGGUUCAAGGGAGGUGUAUUUCUGGGCAACAUCCUGAAAGAUCUUUUAUGUGUUGUGCUGAUCUCUUUGAGGGAUUCCUCUCUUAACUCCUUAUCCGAGGAGAGGCUUUUAGAAUGGAGGGGAGUAGGGCAGGAUCUCAUAGAAGCCAAGUUUAAUCUAUCCUUUUUUCUAGAGUAUUUGCAUUCCUUAGCCCAUAUGCCAUUCCAGAGACAGGCCUCCAAGAAUCUUGAUGCUGAAAUUGCUGCUGUUGAAGAGGUUUUAGCUUGAGCUCACAAGGCAUUGCAAGACUUGAAAGUUAAAGGCAGCGGGUUCUUUCUUCCUCUACUGUUCCUGCCAUUUCCCCAGAAAGCUCUUUGCUAGCUGGCCUUAAACCUUAGCUCCUUACUUUUUUUUUUUCUUUAAUAAUUCAGAUGUAUAAGUUUUUUUUUUUUUUUUUUAGUCAAUUGAGGUUGUAUAGGUUUAUCUUUA